AUUGAACGCUGGCGGCAUGCCUUACACAUGCAAGUCGAACGGCAGCACGGGAGCAAUCCUGGUGGCGAGUGGCGAACGGGUGAGUAAUAUAUCGGAACGUGCCCAGUCGUGGGGGAUAACGCAGCGAAAGCUGUGCUAAUACCGCAUACGAUCUACGGAUGAAAGCGGGGGAUCGCAAGAACUCGCGCGAUUGGAGCGGCCGAUAUCAGAUUAGCUAGUUGGUGAGGUAAAGGCUCACCAAGGCGACGAUCUGUAGCUGGUCUGAGAGGACGACCAGCCACACUGGACCUGAGACACGGUCCAGACUCCUACGGGAGGCAGCAGUGGGGAAUUUUGGACAAUGGGCGAAAGCCUGAUCCAGCAAUGCCGCGUGCAGGAUGAAGGCCUUCGGGUUGUAAACUGCUUUUGUACGGAACGAAACGGUGAGCUCUAAUACAGUUUGCUAAUGACGGUACCGUAAGAAUAAGCACCGGCUAACUACGUGCCAGCCGCCGCAGUAA
rnacentral:rRNA from 1 species